rnacentral:rRNA from 1 species
CACGUAGGGUGCGAGCGUUGUCCGGAAUUAUUGGGCGUAAAGCGCUCGUAGGUGGUUUGUCGCGUUGUUCGUGAAAACUCACAGCUCAACUGUGGGCGUGCGGGCGAUACGGGCAGACUGGAGUACUGCAGGGGAGACUGGAAUUCCUGGUGUAGCGGUGGAAUGCGCAGAUAUCAGGAGGAACACCGGUGGCGAAGGCGGGUCUCUGGGCAGUAACUGACGCUGAGGAGCGAAAGCGUGGGGAGCGAACAGG